UUACGGUUAUAUCAUGUUUAAAAAACAGGUUCUCAUAGGAUUACCGAAAUUAAGCAAUAUCGAGCUUGGUCAGUAGCUAGAUGGGUAACCGUUUGAGAAUACCAGGUGUUGCAAGC